rnacentral:rRNA from 1 species
GGUUUUUAGACCUUAUUAAAAAUCAAGCCUGCUCAAUGCUUAGUAAAUAGCCGCAGUAUUUUGACUGUGCAAAGGUAGCAUAAUCAUUUGUCUCUUGAUUGGGGACUGGAAUGAAAGGUUCAACUAAAUAUUCUUGUCUUAUAAUAAUAUUUUGAAAUUUAUAUUUUAGUAAAAAAGCUAAAAUUGUAUAUAGGGACGAGAAGACCCUAUCAAGUUUUACAAUCAAAGAUUUAUUUUCAAAUUAAACCAAAAAUUGUUUUGCUGGGGCAGCAAAUAAAAAUUUUUUAUUUAAAAAUUAUGAUUUAUAAAUCUUGAAAAACCAAAAAAUUUUUAAUUAAGAAUAAAUUACUGUAGGGAUAACAGCAUAAUUUUUUUAGAGAGCUCUCAUCAUCAAAAAAGUUUGUGACCUCGAUGUUGGAUUAAAAUUCCUAAUUCAUGCAAUAAUGAAAUAAGGAAGUCUGUUCGACUUUUAAAAUUUUCCA